CGGGGAAUCAGGGUUCGAUUCCGGAGAGGGAGCCUGAGAAACGGCUACCACAUCCAAGGAAGGCAACAGGCGCGCAAAUUACCCAAUCUAGACAGUAGGAGGUGGUGAAGAGAAUUACUAGGUGGUGGCUCAAUGAGCUACCAGUUUGGAAUGAACGUAACUUAAGAAAUUCGAUGAGAAACAACUGGAGGGCAAGUCCUGGUGCCAGCAGCCGCGGUAAUUCCAGCUCCAGUAGUUUGCUUUAAAGUUGUUGCGUUUAAAACGCUCGUAGUUGGAUCACGCAGCAGUGUCCAGUAAUCUGUUGAUUGACUUCUCUCUGGUUGUGUCUGUCACGUUACGGCCUUUCGGAAGCUGUCGGCAACAGAUGUUAACGCUGGCCAUUGUUAGUUGCACGUGAGAUGAAUUGUUGGCCUUUGUUGAGCCGAUAUUCUCGUCUUGCGGAGUGUGCCUUGAAUAAAACAGAGUGCUCAAAGCAGGUUAUCGCCUGAAUGUUAUAGCAUGGAACGAACAAUCGUGUAUAUGUGUACAUCCUAUAACGGUGACGAGCCCCAGGCUUGUUGUUGUUAAGGGUGUGCACGGCACCCACCAAAGUAUGGCUGUUGGUUCCAUAUACGGUGAUGAUUAAGAGGAGCGGUUGGGGGCAUCGGUAUUUGGCCGCGAGAGGUGAAAUUCUUAGACCGGCCAAGGACUAACAAAUGCAAAAGCACUUGUCUAGACCGUAUCCAUUAAUCAAGAACGAAAGUGGGAGGUUCGAAGACGAUCAGAUACCGUCCUAGUUCCCACUGUAAACUAUGCCGACCUGGGAUCAGUCCAGAGGUGUUACAAGCUCUAGAUUGGUCCCCCUGGGAAACCUGAAGUUUUUCGGUUACGGGGAGAGUAUGGUCGCAAGGCUGAAACUUAAAGGAAUUGACGGAAGGGCACCACCAGGGGUGGAGCCUGCGGCUUAAUUUGACUCAACACGGGGAAACUUACCUGGUCCGGACAUCGAUAGGAUUAACAGAUUGAUAGCUCUUUUAUGAUGCGAUGAGUGGUGGUGCAUGGCCGUUCUUAGUUCGUGGAGUGAUCUGUCGGCCUAAUUGCGGUAACGAACGAGACCAUAUUCUCCAUUUAAGAGACAGAAGCAGACGGUUGGCGGUGCAAAGCCUCACGGUUUUGCCUGUCAAUCGUUGUAGGCUGGAUGGAGUGUCGUAUUGUAAAGAUGUGGGUUUACUCGCAAACGUAUGAUAUGACAUGCGGUUCCUCCCUUCUGUUAAGCAGCGGUCGGUGGUUUCCACUGGCUGGUGCCUUAUGGAGAGACAACGAGGUAUAAACAAGCUCGAGGAAGAGUGGCUAUAACAGGUCAGGUGAUGCCCUU
rnacentral:rRNA from 1 species